GGGGGAAAAAUGCAUAUAUAGAUAUGAUAGGAAUAAUUUUAUACAGCUCUCUGUAAACAUAUCAAAUAGCAUAAAUAUUUCUAUAAAUUCACGUUUUCAAAUUUAUCCCUUCAAAAGUUCAAUGAUGUUCAUAUUUCUCUUUUCGAUUUAUUAUUGUUAGCUCACUGUUUGUUUUUUAAUAGAAGAUAAGUGAAAUAUCAAUUUUGUCAUUAUAAAUAUGUUCCUCCAAAAAUUUGUGCAAAAUGUUCUCCCCCCAAAAAAUCCUCAAUAUUCAUCUUCUUCCUUUACAAAAACUAACCCAAUCUACUAUUGUUGCAAACUCUUCUCUAUCUCUUCUCUUACUUCUUUUCUCCUUAGCUAUCUAAUACAGAUUCUCCGGCGCUCAACAUUGGGCAAAGUAACACGUGUCGUGGAUGAAUGAGGACGAAGAAAUCAUAGUUAUAGAUUCAGAACUAUCAUGAAGGAGAGAGAGGAAGAGGAAGAAGAAGAAGAGUUUUUAUUGCUAGGAUUUUAAUUGAGAAAAUAAGGUAUAAUAUCAAAGGAUGAAAGAUGAAUUUAUUUCACUCACUAACCAAAUUUAAUUAUUUUAUCUAUGGUUAAUUACAUUUUUCUACUGAACAUUAGCAGCAAGGGUAUAUUUAAAAUCAUUAGAACUUUUUUAGAGAUAAACAUGAAAACUUGAACUUUGUAGAGAUAUAUCUGCUAUUCGAUAUAUUUAUAGAGAGAUGUAUGAAAAUAUCCCUGAAAGAUAUGCUAUUUUAUUUUCUAGUGAGAUUGUAAAAAUUAUAAUGUAAAAUAAUUAUGGCCAUCUGCAUCAUGUAAUAUUUUGUAGAAAAAAAAUAAAGAAGCUUCUCAAUCAUACUUUCUCAUCACGCAUAGUGCAUCUUUUCUGCAAUUUCAAACAGAAUUUAAGAGCCUAUUUGGUAUUCAGAGACACUUGAUAUUAAAAUAAAAGAAAAUAGGGUUAAAAGAAUACAGCGUUACACUUCUCCAUUUCCCAAUAGAAUCUGCAUAAAAUAUUUAUUAAUUGAUAAUUUAAAUUCACGUUUUGGCCUAUUAAAAUAUUACGAGUCUAGACAUGAGAAGUAAGGUUACAUAUAAAUAUUAAAAAUAUCGUUUUCUAUUAGUUUAAGUUUAUAGAAUACAAUGAUUGAUUCAUAUAAUUUAAAAAUGCGUAAAAUAAAUUAAAUAAUUAUUUAUCGUACAUUUUUACUGUAUGCAAUAUAUGUGAGUAGGGG
rnacentral:lncRNA from 1 species